rnacentral:rRNA from 1 species
AUUGAACGCUGGCGGCAUGCCUUACACAUGCAAGUCGAACGGCAGCACGGGUGCUUGCACCUGGUGGCGAGUGGCGAACGGGUGAGUAAUACAUCGGAACAUGUCCUGUAGUGGGGGAUAGCCCGGCGAAAGCCGGAUUAAUACCGCAUACGAUCUACGGAUGAGAGGGGGGGACCUUCGGGCCUCGCGCUCUCGCGUUUGCCGAGGGCGGUUUAGGUAGUUGGUGGGGUAAAGGCCUACGACGGCAACGACCAGUAGCCGGUCGGAGAGGAAGACCAGCCACACGGGGCCUGAGACACGGCCCAGCCCCCUACGGGAGGCAGCAGUGGGGAUUUUGGACAAUGGGCGAAAGCCUGAUCCAGCAAUGCCGCGUGUGUGAAGAAGGCCUUCGGGUUGUAAAGCACUUUUGUCCGGAAAGAAAUCCUUGGCCCUAAUACGGUCGGGGGAUGACGGUACCGGAAGAAUAAGCACCGGCUAACUACGUG